GCCAGUUAGUUAUUGGAUUGGCAUUUAUUUGAGUCGCAGAGGUUAAAUUAGCCAAUUCUGUAGAAAUGAUUAAGCUCAUCAAGAAUGAGUAGCAGAGGAGAGACACCCUGUCCUGAACGUCAGGGUCAUUUUAGAGUACUAACAAAAUGCUUACGUUAUUCAAGUCAGGAGUGCUAUAGUCCUCAUGUUGAGGACAUGAGCUCACAAAAUCAUUAACAACCUACAGAGCAUAGGCUGUUAGUGCCAUAAGGCUUAUAUGACAUACAGCUGAAUAUCAUCAGCAUAUCAGUGAUAUGAGAAAGCCUUUGAAUUUGGAAAGUUGUGGAAGACAGCAUUAAGAGGUGUAGCAAUGGUUGCAUCAAUUCAAAAUGAUAGUGAUGGACUACAAAACUCAAACCAUGAUUACUUUGAGAUUAGAUUUGACAACUACAGAUUUAAAAUACACUUGGUCAAUUGGUCACUUGGCAUGGUCAAUCUGUGGGUAAUUAAACUCUAACAAUUGGUAAAAUAUUAACAGGGCCCUUUCUAGUUGAAUACUUGCUCACUAAAUCAUUGGUAACAGGGAGAAACAGAAUGAAUGCAUGGAUGAAAAAAGGAAACUCUUCUUUUGGUUUCCUGUUGGACCAAAAGAAAAUAUAUACCAGAAGUACUUCUUCUUGGACCUGGAAUAAGGAUUAGAUGAGCCUGGGUGUAAAGUGGAGGCAGCAUUCUUUUAGGGAUUGAAAACAACUGGGUAUUUUAUACUGAUGUCAAUCAUUGCUGAGUAAGGCUAUAUACUUUUUUUUGCAGUUCAUUAUGAAAAGCAGUUGUAAAAGUACAUUACUUGACUUAUAUCUAUUGCAGGUUGCAGGGUGCGUCUCAGAGACACAGUUAAAUAGGAACCCUUCUCCCUCCUUCAGUUCUGUUGUUUCACACCUUCAAACUGGACGGAAAUAGAUUAGCUGAAUGUGAUAGCUCAUGCUAAUACUCACGCUGCACAUUGGAAUUGGAAACACCAGUACUGCCUGACUUUUUUAGAUUCAUUUGAUUUUAACACUGAAGUGUAGCUGUAAUGGAAAGCCUUUUUCUGCAGUCCCCAGAUACAAUCACUGUGUUGUGCACUGUUGGAGUCCUGCUUGUCUUUUACGUGUUAUUUUCCAGUUUUGCCAAUCGUCACAUUAAGGAGCCUCUGGGGCCCUGGCCACUGCCUGUAAUAGGCAAUUGGUUGCUACUGGAUCAUAAAUCUGAACACUGAAUGAGGUGAUAAUUUGUUAUUGAUUCAGCAUAUUUUACGUAAAAGUUGGUCUGACUUUUUAUACAUUUUUCUUUUUUUUUGUUAUGGCUUUUAUAUCAGCUUUCAAAGAAGUAUGGACCAGUAUUUACAUUCCACUUGUGGUGGUGUUUGCGGGGCACAAGACGAUCAAGCAGGCUCUUGUCCACCAUGAUGCAUUUUCAGAGACAGAGGUUCCUCAAAUUAUACAAGAUCUUAAAUUAACACAUGGAAUUUUAUUCGCCAAUGGAGCCUCGUGGAAAGGAGAGUCAACGCCUGAUUGAUAUAGGUAAAGGCUUUGACCCAGCCCAGCCAGUAAACAAUUCUGUCUCCAACAUCAUCUGCUCUAUUGUGUAUGGAAACAGAUUUGAAUAUGAUGACCCGAUUUUCACAUCCAUGGUGGAGAGAGCUACUCAAAACUCAAAACUAUUGGGUUGUCCUUCAAUGCAGUUAUACAACUUCUUUCCAAGACUGUUCAGCUGGCUGGGAGUGCGAAAGCAACUUGUGCAGAGUGCGUUUGUCAAUCUGAGCAAUAUGAAAACAUUAAUCAAGGAUUUACAGGACACCCUUAAUCCAGGGAUGUGCA